rnacentral:rRNA from 1 species
GUGGGGAAUAUUGGACAAUGGGCGAAAGCCUGAUCCAGCCAUGCCGCGUGUGUGAAGAAGGUCUUCGGAUUGUAAAGCACUUUAAGUUGGGAGGAAGGGUUGUACGUUAAUACCGUGCAAUUUUGACGUUACCGACAGAAUAAGCACCGGCUAACUUCGUGCCAGCAGCCGCGGUAAUACGAAGGGUGCAAGCGUUAAUCGGAAUUACUGGGCGUAAAGCGCGCGUAGGUGGUUUUGUAAGUUGGAGGUGAAAUCCCCGGGCUCAACCUGGGAACUGCCUCCAAAACUGCAUGACUAGAGUACGGUAGAGGGUAGUGGAAUUUCCUGUGUAGCGGUGAAAUGCGUAGAUAUAGGAAGGAACACCAGUGGCGAAGGCGACUACCUGGACUGAUACUGACACUGAGGUGCGAAAGCGUGGGGAGCAAACAGGAUUAGAUACCCCAGUAGUCC